GUACUGCGAGUCAAUCAGACUCUAUCACUGUGGUUGACGUUUGGUGGAGGGACCAAACUGAGUGUUGGUAGUGACGUUCGUCCCACCAUGACAGUCCUGCCCCCCUCCAGUGUGGAGCUGCAGCAGGGGAAGGCCACUCUCAUGUGCCUGGCAAACAAGGGCUUCCCCACAGACUGGAAGCUGAGCUGGAAGGUGGAUGGGAGCAGUAGCAGCACCUGGGAGGUGACCGGGAGCCCUGGGGUCCUGGAGAAGGACGGCCACUACAGCUGGAGCAGCACCCUGACCCUCCCUGUCGACCAGUGGAGGAAGGUGGGCUCUGUGACCUGUGAGGCCACCCAGGGCUCCCAGACUCCACUCUCGGAGACACUGAGGAGAGACCAGUGUUCUGAUUAAUGAGCUCCUCCUCUGACUCCACUGUUUUUAUUCUGUUCUACACUUUUUACUCUGUCCUCGCCGUCUUACUGAUCCAGCACUACUAGCAGCACAGGAGGUUGGUGACACCAUUAAUAGGGAGGACGGGCUCAUGGUUAUGGCUGAAAUGGAAUACAUGGAAUGGUAUCGAACUCAUCAAACACAUGGUUUCUAUGUGAUCCAUACCAUUCCAUUCACUCCAUUCCAGACAUUAUUAUGAGCCGUCCUCCCCUCAGCAGCCUCCUGUGACUAGCACACCUGUGCUGGGCUGGACACUGUAUGGGAAUCCAUAUCUCUCUGAUUCCGAUGUCAUAGAUCUGCUUGGCUUUCUUUAUCACGUGUGUGAUGCCCUUUAUUGCUGUAAUGCUGUUGGUUCUAACAUGUUGAGAUAAUAAAGACAUUCAAUC